AUUGAACGCUGGCGGCAGGCCUAACACAUGCAAGUCGAGCGAGCGGCGGACGGGUGAGUAAUGUAUGGGAAACUGCCCGAUGGAGGGGGAUAACUACAGGAAACGGUAGCUAAUACCGCAUACCAUCAGAUGUGCCCAGAUGGGAUUAGCUAGUAGGUGGGGUAACGGCUCACCUAGGCGACGAUCCCUAGCUGGUCUGAGAGGAUGACCAGCCACACUGUAACUGAGACACGGUCCAGACUCCUACGGGAGGCAGCAGUGGGGAAUAUUGCACAAUGGGCGCAAGCCUGAUGCAGCCAUGCCGCGUGUGUGAAGAAGGCCUUCGGGUUGUAAAGCACUUUCAGCGGGGAGGCGUUACCCGCAGAAGAAGCACCGGCUAACUCCGUGCCAGCAGCCGCGGUAAUUC
rnacentral:rRNA from 1 species